GACGAACGCUGGCGGCGUGCUUAACACAUGCAAGUCGAACGGAAAGGCCCUGCUUUUGUGGGGUGCUCGAGUGGCGAACGGGUGAGUAACACGUGAGUAACCUGCCCUUGACUUUGGGAUAACUUCAGGAAACUGGGGCUAAUACCGGAUAGGAGCUCCUGCUGCAUGGUGGGGGUUGGAAAGUUUCGGCGGUUGGGGAUGGACUCGCGGCUUAUCAGCUUGUUGGUGGGGUAGUGGCUUACCAAGGCUUUGACGGGUAGCCGGCCUGAGAGGGUGACCGGCCACAUGGGGACUGAGAUACGGCCCAGACGCCUACGGGAGGCAGCAGGGGGGAAUAUGGCACAAUGGGCGGAAGCCUGAGGCAGCAACGCCGCGUGCGGGAUGACGGCCUUCGGGUUGUAAACCGCUUUCGCCUGUGACGAAGCGUGAGUGACGGUAAUGGGUAAAGAAGCACCGGCUAACUACGUG
rnacentral:rRNA from 1 species